rnacentral:snoRNA from 1 species
UCAAGUGAUGAUCAAACUUCAAUUAUAGGGAAUUCCUCAUGCCGAAUACACGAUGUGGAACCAAAUAGUUUCAGCCUUGUCUGAUU